rnacentral:rRNA from 1 species
UACGGAGGGGGCAAGCGUUAUUCGGAAUCAUUGGGCGUAAAGGGCGCGUAGGCGGCCUUGCAAGUCAAAGGUGAAAUCCCUCGGCCUAACCGAGGAACCGCCUUUGAUACUGCACGGCUCGAGGCCGGGAGAGGGUAGCGGAAUUCCCAGUGUAGCGGUGAAAUGCGUAGAUAUUGGGAGGAACACCAGUGGCGAAGGCGGCUACCUGGACCGGUUCUGACGCUGAUGCGCGAAAGCGUGGGGAGCAAACAGG